CGGAACGGGUGAGUAAUACAUCGGAACGUGCCCAGACGUGGGGGAUAACGAGGCGAAAGCUUUGCUAAUACCGCAUACGAUCUAAGGAUGAAAGCAGGGGACCGCAAGGCCUUGCGCGUUUGGAGCGGCCGAUGGCAGAUUAGGUAGUUGGUGGGACAAAAGCUUACCAAGCCGACGAUCUGUAGCUGGUCUGAGAGGACGACCAGCCACACUGGGACUGAGACACGGCCCAG
rnacentral:rRNA from 1 species